AGCCCCAUAGUGUAGUGGACUAUCAUUUCGGAUUUUGGAUCCGAAGACGGCGGUUCGAAUCCGCCUGGGGCUA
rnacentral:tRNA from 1 species